GACGAACGCUGGCGGCGUGCUUAACACAUGCAAGUCGAACGGAAAGGCCCUGCUUUUGUGGGGUGCUCGAGUGGCGAACGGGUGAGUAACACGUGAGUAACCUGCCCUUGACUUUGGGAUAACUUCAGGAAACUGGGGCUAAUACCGGAUAGGAGCUCCUGCUGCAUGGUGGGGGUUGGAAAGUUUCGGCGGUUGGGGAUGGACUCGCGGCUUAUCAGCUUGUUGGUGGGGUAGUGGCUUACCAAGGCUUUGACGGGUAGCCGGCCUGAGAGGGUGACCGGCCACAUUGGGACUGAGAUACGGCCCAGACUCCUACGGGAGGCAGCAGUGGGGGAUAUUGCACAAUGGGCGGAAGCCUGAUGCAGCAACGCCGCGUGCGGGACGACGGCCUUCGGGUUGUAAACCGCUUUCGCCUGUGACGAAGCGUGAGUGACGGUAAUGGGUAAAGAAGCACCGGCUAACUACGU
rnacentral:rRNA from 1 species